UGUAUUUUAUUAGGAUUUCAUAAUAUUGCUAAGGAGACCUUAAGCAUACCUCCGUGUGAACACCAUGAAGGUAAACCGUUUCUAAAUCAACUCGCCCAAAAAUACAACUCUGACACACAGCAACUUCCAUCGUCGCUCUCAAUAUGCCGUGCAACGCCGUUACUCCACACGCCUCGCCCUCGAUCUGUGUAUACAACCCUGUUUUGGCUUUUAAAAUGGAGGUCUUUGAUGUUGUGCGUACAUUAAUCUUUAAGUGAUGAGUACAAAAAAAUUGCAAAAACGUAACUAAAACUGUGAACAAAUUACAAAGAAAAUGUCUCAUUACUGAAAAAGACAACAUGUCGUUGUACUCCAUUUGUUAAUUUAAAACAAUAUAACUAAAAGUAAAAUUGUUUAAAUUAACCAAAAAAAAAAA